GUGCUCUCUUUGGCAGCACAUACACUAAAAUUGGAACAGUACAGAGAAGAUUAGCAUGACCCCUGCGCAAGGAUAACAUGCAAAUUCAUGAAGCAUUCCAUAAGAAA
ensembl:snRNA U6 U6 spliceosomal RNA